AAGAGGCGUCUGGCAAAACACCGAACGGCAUCAGCCACUGGUGACGGAGACAAGCAGCAUAACGCGGCGCGUCCGCCAAGCAGGACAAACGCAACAGCCUCUGCCCGUGGCGAGCAAGGACAACUCUGUCGCCCGCCGCGGAGACGCGACAAAGCGACUGCCCAGCCCCGACUCCCUGGCUGCUGCUCUCCCCGUGCGAAAAGGAAAGAGGAGGACACGACAUCUCCAGCACCGAGCCCGCUCCCGUGCAAACAAGGCUGCAUCCCAGGGACCUGGAAUCUUGGGGAUGCCUGAUCUUUCCUGAUCUCUUCCCCAGACUUACUGGGGUUGCAGCUUUUGGCCUUUUACAACGGGUUUUGGUCCGUCAUAGUGUGUCGGUAAGUGUUUUUUGGCCAUGCUUGUCCCGGCAUGUGGACUUUUUGUUUGCCUGUCAAAACCAGACAUCUAUUCCUUUGUUACUUUGUAAUUUACUUGUGUUUCUUGUAACUAGAGGAGACAUAUUGUAUUCUACCCUAUGUUUUUAUGUUUUUGAUCAGUUGCAAACCCUGAAUUUCAGUGACUUUGUAUUUCAUA
rnacentral:lncRNA from 1 species